UGGGGAAUUUUGGACAAUGGGGGAAACCCUGAUCCAGCCAUCCCGCGUGUGCGAUGAAGGCCUUCGGGUUGUAAAGCACUUUUGGCAGGAAAGAAACGUCAUGGGUUAAUACCCCGUGAAACUGACGGUACCUGCAGAAUAAGCACCGGCUAACUACGUGCCAGCAGCCGCGGUAAUACGUAGGGUGCAAGCGUUAAUCGGAAUUACUGGGCGUAAAGCGUGCGCAGGCGGUUCGGAAAGAAAGAUGUGAAAUCCCAGAGCUCAACUUUGGAACUGCAUUUUUAACUACCGGGAUAGAGUGUGUCAGAGGGAGGUGGAAUUCCGCGUGUAGCAGUGAAAUGCGUGGAUAUGCGGAGGAACACCGAUGGCGAAGGCAGCCUCCUGGGAUAACACUGACGCUCAUGCACGAAAGCGUGGGGAGCAAACAGG
rnacentral:rRNA from 1 species